rnacentral:rRNA from 1 species
CACGUAGGGGGCAAGCGUUGUCCGGAUUUAUUGGGCGUAAAGAGCUCGUAGGCGGUUCGGUAAGUCGGGUGUGAAACCUCCAGGCUCAACCUGGAGUCGCCACUCGAUACUGCUGUGACUAGAGUCCGGUAGGGGAGCGUGGAAUUCCUGGUGUAGCGGUGAAAUUCGUAGAUAUUCGGAAGAACACCAGUGGCGAAGGCGGCACACUGGCCCAUUACUGACGCUGAGGCUCGAAAGCGUGGGGAGCAAACAGG